CCCAGUGACCUAGUUCAACGGCCGCGGUAUCCUAACCGUGCGAAGGUAGCGUAAUCACUUGUUCUUUAAAUAAGGACUGGUAUGAAUGGCACCACGAGGGUUACACUGUCUCCUCUUUCUAAUCAGUGAAACUAAUCUCCCCGUGAAGAAGCUGGGAUUUUUAUAUAAGACGAGAAGACCCUAUGGAGCUUUAAACUAAUUAACACUUGCUGCCCUUCAUCCCUCUUUCAGAAACUUUUUACUAAGCAUAGCAUCAUGAUUAAUAGUUUUCGAUUGGGGUGAUCACGGAGCAAAAAACAACCUCCAUGCCGAAAGGGACUUCCUCCCCUGAGCUAAAAGCCACAACUUUAAGCACUAAAAAAAUUAACGUUUAUUGACCCAAUAAUUUUGAUCAACGAACCAAGUUACCCUAGGGAUAACAGCGCAAUCCACUUCAAGAGCUCCUAUCGACAAGUGGGUUUACGACCUCGAUGUUGGAUCAGGGUAUCCCAGUGGUGCAGCCGCUACUAACGGUUCGUUUGUUCAACGAUUAAAACCCUACGUGAUCUGAGUUCAGACCGGAAG
rnacentral:rRNA from 1 species